rnacentral:rRNA from 1 species
GGAUUAGAUACCCUAUUAUUGAAAAUGUAAAUUAUUAUGCUAGAGUAGUAGUAGUUAUGUUCUUGAAAUUCAAAAAAUCUGGCGGUAUUUUAGUCUAUUCAGAGGAACCUGUCCUAUAAUUGAUAGUCCACGAUUAAUAUUACUUAUUUUUAGUUUGUAUAUCGUCGUAGGUUGAAUGUUUUUUAAAAAAAUGGAAUAUUCAUAAUUUAAAUUAUUUAAAAAAAAUCAGAUCAAGAUACAGCGUAUAAAUAAGGAGAGAUGGGUUACAAUAAAUUUAUUUAAAUGGUUAAAAUAUUUAAAAUUAUUUUAUAAAGUGGAUUUGAUAGUAAUUUAAUUUAUUUAAAUUGAGUGAUUUUGGCUCUAAAAUAUGUACAUAUCGCCCGUCGCUCCUUUUCUAAAGAAGGAUAAGUC